UGGACAGAUUAUUGCAUUCGACUGUAUUCACGACAUGAAAUAGGAGAUUACACUGUUUUUAAACGGAAAGUGAAUCAAUUAACAUAAUAGACUCCU
rnacentral:pre_miRNA from 1 species